GACAAUGGGCGAAAGCCUGAUCCAGCAAUGCCGCGUGUGUGAAGAAGGCCUUCGGGUUGUAAAGCACUUUUUGUCCGGAAAGAAAUCCUUGGCUCUAAUACAGUCGGGGGAUGACGGUACCGGAAGAAUAAGCACCGGCUAACUACGUGCCAGCAGCCGCGGUAAUACGUAGGGUGCAAGCGUUAAUCGGAAUUACUGGGCGUAAAGCGUGCGCAGGCGGUUUGCUAAGACCGAUGUGAAAUCCCCCGGGCUCAACCUGGGAACUGCAUYUGRWACUGKCAAGCUWGAGUSUMGYAGAGGGGGGUAGAAUUCCASGUGUAGCRGUGAAAUGCGUAGAGAUSUGGAGGAAUACCGRUGGCGAAGGCRGCCCCCU
rnacentral:rRNA from 1 species